UGGCUCUGCACCCGAUCCGAGCGUCCACGGCUUUGUCGGUGUUUCUCGAGUCCGCCUUUCGCUUGUCGGUGCGCGACCUGGACAGGGAGGCCGUUUGCUUCAGUCUGUGCGGGUGGAGAACCUACCGCCAUUUGUUCGGCCGCGAAAAUCGUGUUUCCUUCGAUGAGGCCGACACUGAGGAGCGUCCGGAUGGCGAGGCGUUGCCAGACUUGGAAGAAGACGAGGACUUUGAUGGACAGGAACUUCUGCAGGGGUUUGUAGGGCCGAAGAAGAGGUUCCGUGCAGAGGUAGAACUGGAGGAGUGAAAGCAUGCAAGUGAAGACGGAGGCGAGAAGCGCGACAGAGGUCAGCCCAGGCAUGCCGAGAAAGUGCGACCACUGGAGACUCGUCUCUCUCGGCUCUGAAGGGGACACCGCUGGGCUGGGAGAGGGCGAGCUGAGGACAUCGCUUUCUGUUAAAAGGGGGAGAGAAACAGGCAGGGACAGGAAGGCGGGAGCUGAAGACAGAACGGUCCACACGGAAGAGACUCCCGCCACAGAGGAAGGAAAGGAACCUGACGCCUGGUCGAGGGAAGAGUCCAGUGCGGGAGAAGGCCCUGAAGACACAAGGGGGAAAAAGGAAGGCGGCCUCGUCGCCGGGAGGCUUUCUUCCGGUCGUAACCGAGGUGCUGCCGGCGUCGCGUUUGAGACCGGCGGGAAAACAGGUGGAGGAGAAACCGCCGAGGCAACGAAGAGCGCUGCACCAGGUUUCAUCGCGAGAGCCUGGAGAAGAGAGACGAUGCCGACAAGAGGGACGACGAGGACAAAUUGCAUGACCCCCACUUUGAGGUAACGGAGAAUGUGCGGCCCAGGAUGAAAAGAAGGAAAGAACAGAUUGAAUGGCGGCACCGGCUUCACCAGCUUCGGGUCGCAGGCGAGGGCCAUGGAGAUGCAGCGAUCGUUUCCUGGCGCAAGACACAGACUGCCAAAAGAAGCAUGAAGCACACAAGCGGUCGUCGAGCGACUGAGAGCAAUUCGACACUCGAGAAGAAGACAGUCGGCGAACUGGAGUUCGCGGUUCGCAGGGGAGCGAAAGGCGCUCUGGGCAGUCUGGAGAUGCGGCGAAUCUGUGGGUGAAAAUUCGUAGCCUAAAACGUGGUAGGUGCGUGACUGAGGAGCACACAAAACACUACGCAGAUGUUUGCAGAUCCACGGACACACCGUGGACCUCGAAAGCAGUGGCGAUUCACUGAGUCGAAACUGAAUGAGUUGAACUGUAGUUUCCUAAGACAUGCAGAAGUUACUCCUUAUCGAGUACGGUAUAGGCGUCACGCAUUAAAUGGUGUUAUAAAUGGUGUUACCACGUGUACUAGCAGCGACAGAAGCGACCACAACAUGCGAUGAAUGCGCUAUUCACAAAGGCAGCAGCCUUCUUCUAAGGAAGCGUUUUCUGUCCUUGUCUCGGCCUUCCUUCCAGGUCUCGUCCGUCACUCUUGAAUGUUGGUACAUUCACAGCUAAUUGUCCUGCGAAAAGUGCGAAGUUCGUGCUUUCCAUGGAAACGCGCUGACAACAAAAGCCUGGUGGUCCUCCCGGAAGC
rnacentral:lncRNA from 1 species